GAGAUGUUUGUACUCUUGCUCAUAGGCAUCUAGCCCUUGAAGCGGCCCAUCAAGGGAUUGUUCUUCUCAAAAACUCUGGUCGCUCUCUUCCACUCUCCCCUAGACGCCACCGCACAGUCGCCGUGAUUGGACCCAACUCCGAUGUCACUGAGACCAUGAUCGGAAACUAUGCAGGUAAAUACGAUAUUUCAUUAAAAUAUCUCUAUAUAUAUAUUAUAAUUAUUAUUAGUAAAUACAGAAUAUUGAUAUAUAAUUUCGACAGGAAAAGCAUGCACCUAUACGACGCCGUUACAAGGAAUAUCAAGAUACGCUAGGACACUUCAUCAAGUUGGUUGUGCCGGCGUGGCUUGCGCAGGGAACCAAGGAUUUGGUGCAGCCGAGGCGG
rnacentral:lncRNA from 1 species